rnacentral:sRNA from 1 species
AUCUACAUUUGUGUUGUCAGAGUGAGAAUUCAGACCAAGUUUUUUUUCCCUCAGCAAAUAGCAUAUCUUAAUGUAAGACGACGCUUCGUAGCAUUUAAAGCAUUCAGCGUCCAGUACAGGUAAGCGCAGAAAAAACAAACAAAUUGUUUAGAGAUGGUGUCGGAAAAAUCUAGAGUUAUCUUCUCAAUGGACAAGGUCUGUCUGCUGG